AUGCUUUUAUUUAUCGAUAAUAUCUUUCGUUUUGUUCAAGCAGGAUUAGAGGUAUCCGCUUUAUUAGGGAGAAUGCCCUCCGCAGUGGGUUAUCAACCUACUCUUAGUACAUAAAUGGGUUCUUUUCAAGAAAGAAUUGCUUCUACUAAAAAGGGAUCUAUAACUUUGAUUCAAGCAGUUUAUGUACUUGCAGACGAUUUGACCGACCCUGCCCAGCUCUUCUUAUAUAGAAGGAACUCCACUUUGAUAGUCAUACGAGAGGGAAGAGACUCAAAGUUGAGUGAAAAGUGCAGGGUCAUGCUCAUUAGAAGAGAAACCAGCAACUUGAACCACAGAGCUGAACCACUCAAACCAAGCACGAGGUGGUUGCUUUUUUCCCAUAGAGGGCCUUUUGAAGGCGACAAACAUGACCAUUAG
rnacentral:rRNA from 1 species